GACGAACGCUGGCGGCGUGCUUAACACAUGCAAGUCGAACGGUAAGGCCCUUCUUUUUUGGGGUGCUCUAGUGGCGAACGGGUGAGUAACACGUGAGUAACCUGCCCUUGACUUUGGGAUAACUUCAGGAAACUGGGGCUAAUACCGGAUAGGAUCUCCUGCUUCAUGGUGGGGGUUGGAAAGUUUCGGCGGUUGGGGAUGGACUCGCGGCUUAUCAGCUUGUUGGUGGGGUAGUGGCUUACCAAGGCUUUGACGGGUGGCCGGCCUGAGAGGGUGACCGGCCACAUUGGGACUGAGAUACGGGCCAGAAUCCUACGGGAGGCAGCAGUGGGGAAUAUUGCAAAAUGGGCGGAAGCCUGAUGCAGCAACGCCGUGUGCGGGAUGACGGCCUUCGGGUUGUAAACCGCUUUCGCCUGUGACGAAGCGUGAGUGACGGUAAUGGGUAAAGAAGCACCGGCUAACUACGUG
rnacentral:rRNA from 1 species